rnacentral:snRNA from 1 species
AUCGCUUCUCGGCCUUUUUUAGGCUAAGAUCAUGUGUAGUUCCUGUUCUUAUCAGUUGUAAUAUCUGAUAUGCUUUCCAUUGGAGAGCUUUGUAUUGAGUUUAUUUUUGGUGUUUGGGGAUGGAUUUGGAGCUUGCUCUUUCCUCUCUAUGCAUCAGCCUGGUAUUGCAGUGUUUCCAGGAGUGGUGCCCCUCUC